AGAGUUUGAUUCUGGCUCAGAACGAACGCUGGCGGCGUGGAUAAGACAUGCAAGUCGAACGAGAGAAUUGCUAGCUUGCUAAUAAUUCUCUAGUGGCGCACGGGUGAGUAACACGUGAGUAACCUGCCCCCGAGAGCGGGAUAGCCCUGGGAAACUGGGAUUAAUACCGCAUAGUAUCGAAAGAUUAAAGCAGCAAUGCGCUUGGGGAUGGGCUCGCGGCCUAUUAGUUAGUUGGUGAGGUAACGGCUCACCAAGGCGAUGACGGGUAGCCGGUCUGAGAGGAUGUCCGGCCACACUGGAACUGAGACACGGUCCAGACACCUACGGGUGGCAGCAGUCGAGAAUCAUUCACAAUGGGGGAAACCCUGAUGGUGUGACGCCGCGUGGGGGAAUGAAGGUCUUCGGAUUGUAAACCCCUGUCAUGUGGGAGCAAAUUAAAAAGAUAGUACCACAAGAGGAAGAGACGGCUAACUCUGUGCCAGCAGCCGCGGUAAUACAGAGGUCUCAAGCGUUGUUCGGAAUCACUGGGCGUAAAGCGUGCGUAGGCUGUUUCGUAAGUCGUGUGUGAAAGGCGCGGGCUCAACCCGCGGACGGCACAUGAUACUGCGAGACUAGAGUAAUGGAGGGGGAACCGGAAUUCUCGGUGUAGCAGUGAAAUGCGUAGAUAUCGAGAGGAACACUCGUGGCGAAGGCGGGUUCCUGGACAUUAACUGACGCUGAGGCACGAAGGCCAGGGGAGCGAAAGGGAUUAGAUACCCCUGUAGUCCUGGCAGUAAACGGUGCACGCUUGGUGUGCGGGGAAUCGACCCCCUGCGUGCCGGAGCUAACGCGUUAAGCGUGCCGCCUGGGGAGUACGGUCGCAAGAUUAAAACUCAAAGAAAUUGACGGGGACCCGCACAAGCGGUGGAGUAUGUGGCUUAAUUCGAUGCAACGCGAAGAACCUUACCUGGGCUUGACAUGUAAUGAACAACAUGUGAAAGCAUGCGACUCUUCGGAGGCGUUACACAGGUGCUGCAUGGCCGUCGUCAGCUCGUGUCGUGAGAUGUUUGGUUAAGUCCAGCAACGAGCGCAACCCCUGUUGCCAGUUACCAGCACGUGAAGGUGGGGACUCUGGCGAGACUGCCCAGAUCAACUGGGAGGAAGGUGGGGACGACGUCAGGUCAGUAUGGCCCUUAUGCCCAGGGCUGCACACGUACUACAAUGCCCAGUACAGAGGGGGCCGAAGCCGCGAGGCGGAGGAAAUCCUGAAAACUGGGCCCAGUUCGGACUGUAGGCUGCAACCCGCCUACACGAAGCCGGAAUCGCUAGUAAUGGCGCAUCAGCUACGGCGCCGUGAAUACGUUCCCGGGUCUUGUACACACCGCCCGUCACAUCAUGGAAGCCGGUCGCACCCGAAGUAUCUGAAGCCAACCGCAAGGAGGCAGGGUCCUAAGGUGAGACUGGUAACUGGGAUGAAGUCGUAACAAGGUAGCCGUAGGGGAACCUGCGGC
rnacentral:rRNA from 2 species